rnacentral:tRNA from 1 species
GGGCCGAUGGUUCAACCCGGUGAGGAUUAUCCUCGGGGAAUAGAACGCACCGCUGGCAGCGGUGAGGCUGCGGGUUCAAAUCCCGCUCGGUCCA